CCUUAUUUCCGGUUCCUCUUCGAUUAUGCGCAACAAAGUGGGAUCGAGUUAAGCUACGCAAACUGGCAGAAGCGUCUAUUUGCAAAUUCUACGCAUGCAGAUGUAUAUACGGAUGCAAAGAAAAGCGUAAAGCGUGCGAGCGCAUGCUCGUACUCACAUUCGUCAAUCAUCAUGCACGCACACACGCAUACAUUAACAACACCAUUACAACAACAGCGAUAGUCCGAUAAUUCAGCGAUAACGAUAAUAUUUUGCUCCUAACAAUAGUAGCAAUAGUGGUCGUGGUGUACCCUUCACCAAGCAACGGGAACAAAUGACACGGGCAACGUCAAUUAAUCUUGUUUUGUUGGUUUUUUGUGAGCUUCGUUUCGUGUGUGACUUAUGUAGCAAUCAUCGCAAUAUGGUACUCGUACAAUAUACUGAGCUGUGAUGUUAGUACAUACAUAUAUGUAUUUAAAAAAAAAAAAAAGAGAUGCGGCGGUACGGUGUGCGAUACUGCAUAUGUACAUAUAACAUGUGUGGUAUUAAGAAGACAAAAUAAUCACUAAGCUCACACACGAGGAAACGGAUGACGAGCAUGAGUGAUAACGAAACAAGUUUGUAUAGAGAGGAGGAGCAGAAGAGAGGAAAGAGAGAGAUAUGUAUAGAAGAAAACACAAAAGUACGUAGAGUGUAAGUGACGAAAUUUAGAAUAAGCGUUAAGAUACAGACAGAAACAGAAUUAUGUACGUCUAUAUAUAAGUUAAUUUAAGAUAUUAGCUGAAUUAAGUAGGAAUGGCCGAAAAUGUUGAGAACAUAUCCAUAAGAGAAUACAAAAGGACUUCUUUUCUAACUAGUCUUUUCGAUCGAACUAACAAUAAGAAUUAAACCCUUCACUAAUGACUGAUCAUCAAUUUUAUCUCUUUCUUCGAAGAUACAAAAAUAUGAAACUAUUCACUAUUUUUCCGUUUUACGCGCGCGUUUGUGUCUUUUGUAAUGUUUUUAUUUUAAAUUAUAUUUCUUUGUUAAUUUAGACACUAUACAAAAAUUAGGAUAAGGGUUUAGAUUAAAUUAAAAAUGUGAAUGUGUGAAUUCUUAUGAGCUCGCGGGAUUAUUAAGUCUUUAUAUGUACAUAUAUAUGUAUAUACCUACGUACACACAUACAUACAUACAUACAUAUAUAUACACAUAUAAUACAUAUAUAUCAAUAUUAAUAAAGUUCAAAGCAGUAGCGAUAAUAUAUUGUACUAUUAUCAAAGCGUGUUUCGAGUUCACACGGAACGAAAAAACUAUAUACAACUAUAGACAGAGCAUCUUAAAUCGUUAAAUGAGAUUAUCAACUAUGCUCUUAAUCAUAGAUCCUCUGCAUUUCGCAAAUCAGUCGCGUAUAUUAAAACAUCGAUGGUAAUCGUGACAAUAUAACAAUUAACAAUGACACAUUCACGAUUCCGAUAUAUAAUACCACUUCUCUGCACGUUAUAUACUAUACAUUUCUUAAACGACGUUGUAUACAUGUGCACAUACGUAUACAUAGCAUAACACUCUUAGAAAAUAUAUAUUCCGACCGUAAUAUACCGUUCGCAUUCUAAUUUAAUCCGAUGCGACGUUCCUGAGUUAAUAUUUGUUCUAUAAAAACUUCACAAUUGUCGUGCUCGAUUGUGUAAUAUACACAAAAUUUAAUUAAAUCGAAAUUAUUAGUAAUUUCGGAUAAGUUGAAAUCUAUGUUUAUGCAAUCAAAAACGAUUCACAAAUCGCUUGCCUCCCUGGCUAGCAAAAGCAUUACACGUAUUACUCGCUAUUCGCUAAUAGCGGAGGCUUCUAUCCACGCGAGUAAUAGUUCUUUCGGGAAUAACUGACGCCGAUAGAAAAUCGCUUUCUUCGCUAUAUCUUCGUCUAAUAUAUUUCGUCUAUCACACGUGGCAGUGUCCCUCCUCUCGAACUUUUACAACGUAGUUUUCCCUCUUCGAACUUACGAUGUUUCCCCUAAGGCUCUUAUAUAUUCAACAAUCAAUUAUUGUACUUAAACUAUUAAGCGAUAUACUAUGUGCAGAGAAAAAAAGAUGCCUGCAAGAAUAUCUUGCAUGUGAAAACUUCUAAGAAAGUUACAAUUUUCAAAAAAUUUCCUAUUUUUUGACUAAUAUUCCUAUUUCUCGGUUCCUUUCAGAGCAACAAAAAGAAUACGAAUCACAGAGAUAACCGGGGGUGCUGAUUAGAGUCACAACGAAGAUAUGAUUUUUAAAAUGACCAUCAAGAACUUUGCAGGAAAUUUUUUGAAGAUUAUGAAAAAUUAUAUAUACAUUUUAAAGAUAGGUCAAGUAAUUAUAGCAUUUCCAAAAUAUAUUUCAGUUUGCACGGCACUGGGUAUAAAAAGGAAAGUAGUAACAAGCAAGAACAGGUGUAGUUCUAUAGCAAACUUACAGUAGGUAGAUCAUGCUGGCUACAAGUGGGAAACUAAUUUUUGAGAGAAAAGGGAAAUUAAAAGGAAAAAAUAACGAUAUUUCCCAACAAUAUCGUCGACACAUUGCAUUGCUAUAGUACCAAUAGCUGCUAUCAUUGUGGUAUAGCUCGAUCCCACAAACACUUGAAUUUAACUUCAAUUAAGGUUUACGAGAUCGGCUGUAUGCGACUAACCGAAAAUUGCACAAUUUCUGCAAUAUUGGUAUUAUGCAUUUGCACACGUUUUCAUCCGAAUGUCUUAGGCACUCGGAUUGCAUUAUCGGAUCAAUAUCCGUUUCACUACGAAUCAAAAAACAUUGAUACGAGAUACCAUUUUCGACUAAGAUUUUCUACAACUAUUAUACAGGUACGGAAAAAAGAUACGAUCGAAGCAGUCAGGUGAUAAAGAAUAAACGGCACGACGUCAUGCUACUACUUCUACCAAAUUAUUUCGCAGAAUCGAAGGGAAAGAAGAAAAAUUAACAGCGUUUCUGCGCAUUUAAUUAGCUCGGAGAACGAUUAUGGGGGUUUUAGAUUUCAACACCUAACCCAAGUAUAAGAGAAAGAUGUAUGUAUAUAUAUACAUACACAUUUAAAAAAGUGUAUAUAUAUUUUUAUAUAAAUAUAUACCAAUUUAGAGAGUAACAAAGAUAAUUUAUCAUGUCCACAAUCUGAGUUUACACGACAGAAAAGUACUAUAUAUUUACAUAGAGAAUUUUAUAUUGUUGGAGGAUUAUAUUUAUAUAUACCGUCUCAUUUUCAUC